rnacentral:rRNA from 1 species
AGGGAAUAUUGCGCAAUGGACGAAAGUCUGACGCAGCGACGCCGCGUGUGGGAGGAAGCCUUUCGGGGUGUAAACCACUGUCAGAGGGGAAGAACCGUGUCAUUUCGAAUAGGCUUGGCACCUGACGGUACCC